UCAGUGCUUGAUGCAGCAACUAAAGGGAAUCGAUAUAUAAAUUCGUGUCUCAAAUUGAAUGAGGAAAUGAAGAUCGUAAACACGGGAAAUCAUUAAACAACCAUGGUAGAACUUGAAUUGUGAUGUUGAUUCUGAACUGUUAAUGGUUGUUGCUGAGGGUUACAUUUGUGAAAAUUGAUGAUGAUGUUGGUGACGCUGAAAGUCACAGGAAAUCAGUGAGAUCUCUCUUUGUUUUGCGUAUUCAUGAAAUUGGACAACAAAAGAGCAUACAACUAUGUGUUAUUGCUUAGAAUUUUCAAAUUAUUUGUCCCAGACUUCCUAGGAUUAGUAGAUGUGUAUGAAAUAUUAAUUUCUUUCAUGCGUGUAUUUAUAGGACAAGUGGUCUUCGGCUUAUGAUUGUAGAACUAGUCUUCUGUCUAUUCAAAGUCUAUUGGAAGAGCCUAACCUGGAGAGUCCUCUAAAUAGCUACGCUGCAUAGCUUUGGAAUGAUAAGGAAGAGAAUGAUAGUAGCGAUGAUGAAGAUGUGACUUUUUUAAGCCUAUAGAAGAAGUGAAAAAAGUGUAUGCUUGGAGAAGGUUAAUGUCGGAGAUGUACUUCAUAUCUUGCCUUGCCUUCAUCAGACAAUGUGGAUCUUGGAACUGCUUGCAAAAAGUACUACAGAGUGUGAUGUCUCAGCAUAUCUUGGCGCGUGCGGCUGCUAAUUGUGAGAAACCAAAGUCUGGAACAAAGUAUCAAUAUGCAGAGUUCAAAACAACAGGUUAAUUCUAAGUUAGGUGUCAUUGAUCGGGUCCAGGGGAGGUUCGAUUCGAUUGAGGCAUCUGUUUGAAUGAUUGAGCGGAUUCUCAGUUCGUCGCAGCUCCUUCACCCAUCAGAUAGCGUAGCUUUGAAUCUGAUUUAUAUCGCGUCAAGUAAUAUGUAUUCUGAGACUGAAUGUUUCUAUCGAUGUUUCUAGCCUGCUUUGAAUCAAUGCUGCAACAUUCACGACAGCAAGGCAGU